rnacentral:lncRNA from 1 species
GAAGCGAGGAAAGUUUGCCGGCGAGUGUCCUUUGUGCUGCGUGGAGAGGGGUGUGGGCGGCCGCCGACUCGGCGCUUCCCCGCCGCCCGCCCAGGGAGUCCCUGCCUGGCAAGCUGGGGCUCGGGGAAAAGUCCAGCAGCGAGAGGGCCGCGUGUCCCGGGACGGUUCCAGGGGAGCCCGCGCGGAAACGCGGACCAGGCGCUUCGGCCCGGAUGCCGGAUCCAGGAGAAGGGGACCUCGCUUGCCGUGUCCACCGCCGCGGCCCCAGCGCCAAGAACAGAGCCUGGCCGUGAGUGAACGACUGGCCGGGGUACAAAUGGUUCUGAAGCACUUGAAGCUCACAGGCAAAGGCUAAGAGUCUAAAUCCCAUCCCGCCGCACAUCUCCAGACUUCAAUUUGGCUGAAAUAAUUCAUGCCACGGACCUGUGCACAUGCCUGGAAUUGAGAGACACAGUUAAAAGACUCCAAGUUGCUUUCUGCCUUUUGAAAACUCCUGAAAACCAUCCCUUUGGACUCUGGAAUUCUACACAGCUCAACCAAGACUUUGCUUGAAUGUUUACAUUUUCUGCUCGCUGUCCUACAUAUCACAAUA